rnacentral:rRNA from 1 species
UACAGGGGGGGCAAGCGUUGUUCGGAAUUACUGGGCGUAAAGGGCUCGUAGGCGGCCAACUAAGUCACACGUGAAAUCCCCAGGCUUAACCUGGGAACUGCGUGUGAUACUGGAUGGCUUGAAUCCGGGAGAGGGAUGCAGAAUUCCAGGUGUAGCGGUGAAAUGCGUAGAUAUCUGGAGGAACACCGGUGGCGAAGGCGGGUCUCUGGGCCGAAAUUGACGCUGAGGAGCGAAAGCGUGGGGAGCAAACAGG